AACAGCUGUCUGGCUUUAAAACAACAAAACAACUACAACAACAACACACCGCCUGUGGACACAUGGCCAGGAGGAGGCGCGCGUCCCGGUUAAUUUCUCCAUUCUGGCUUUUGGAAUCCCGAGUUUGUUCAAAGGGUACCAGUUAUUUUCUAUUUUUCUAAGGUAAACAUUACUAGGAUGCUAAGAUAAUUAUGACUGCAGGCUUAGAUCCAGAGUCUUUGCAAAAAGACAGUAGUCGUGUCUUUUUCUUCUGGACCUGUUGGGUACCAGGUACCAGGGACUGUGCUAGGUGCCCAUCCCAUGCAGGAAAUCCUUCUGAAGGCCUUCAAUCGACGUCCACACCUUCAACUAUUUCUUUGCCUGAUAACCCAUCUUUAGAGAUUUCCUCUCUUUGAUUUCGUGUUAUUUUUUACUCUCAAUAACACUGAAGCAAGUGAUCAAAAUGCAAAUGCAGGAGAAACAUCUCAUUUAAGAGAGUGAGUCUAUGUCUCUAUGCAGAGCAGGCCUUUGCAAGACCCUUAAAACACCCUUAACAUUUGCUCUUCUUUUUUGCCUUUUCAUUGCAAUCAGGGCUGAUAAAAAUGGGUGAAUAACUUUCUGAGGGGACGAACCUUCCACCUACUUGCCUCCCCACAACUUAGACAAUAGAGUUCAGGUGUUCCAAGUGGGUGUAGAAACCACCAUUCAUUCCAAAACUUGGUGCAAGGACAGCUUUACCCGGAUUCUCUCCAUCAUCUAGGUGCCUUCCCCCUACUUUUCCCGUGACAGAAUUUGCAGUGCGACAGAAGUCAGCUUGGCCUUCACUCAUUUUUUUCCUCCCUGUUCAUUUUCCAUGUAGGUGUGGGUGUAGGUGUGGAAUUUUAGUGACAGAAUGUAGCCCAAUUCCAUAGCUCAGAUCCAUGGACUGGGCAUGACUGACUGAACUGGGAGUGACUGGUUUGUCUGGGAGCUUUCAACCCUGAGCUGGGAGUACUGGUUUCCAUUAAUGCUAGAUUGGGGAUUACAUUUUACAACACUCAGUUUCCACAGAGGCUACAUGAAAAUCAAGACUAUUAUUUUAAAAUUCACAUGGCAUGCUUACCUGGCAGGGGAGAUACCAUGAUCACUAAGGUGGUUUUCCCAGGGUGAGGCUUAUCCAUUGCAAUCCGGUUGUGCCCACCCCUGCGAUUUCCCCAAAUGUGGGAAACUCGACUGCAUAAUUUGUGGUAGAAAUCGGAAUAGUGUCGUGUAA